rnacentral:tRNA from 1 species
GCCCAUGUAGCUCAGCUGGUAGAGCAGCUCAUUCGUAACGAGCAGGUCGCAGGUUCAAGUCCCGUCGUGGGCUCCA